GGCAAGAUGGCCGAGCGGUCUAAGGCGCUGUGUUCAGGUUGUUGCUCUCAAUAGCUUCGCAGUCUUCGGGCGUGGGUUCGAAUCCCACUCUUGUCA
rnacentral:tRNA from 1 species